UUUGUUGUUAAAGUUACAGGAGCCCUGAGGGGCUUAAUAGGGAAGCCGGUGCAAAUCCGGCACGGUCCCGCCGCUGUAACCGGGGACGAAUCCUACAGUAUGCCACUGUCUUGGGCAAUGAAGAUGGGAAGGCGUAGGGAAGAGAAUGAUCCGGGAGCCAGAAGACCUGCCUGUAACCGAGAUGCCGC
rnacentral:ncRNA from 2 species